ACUCCUACGGGAGGCAGCAGUGGGGAAUAUUGGACAAUGGGGGCAACCCUGAUCCAGCCAUGCCGCGUGAGUGAAGAAGGCCCUAGGGUCGUAAAGCUCUUUCAACUGUGAAGAUAAUGACGGUAGCAGUAGAAGAAACCCGCAGCUACCCGUGCCAGCAGCCGCGGUAAUACGGAGGGGGUUAGCGUUGUUCGGAAUUACUGGGCGUAAAGCGCACGUAGGCGGACUAUUAAGUUAGAGGUGAAA
rnacentral:rRNA from 1 species